rnacentral:rRNA from 1 species
AUUCCAGCUCCAAUAGCGUAUAUUAAAGUUGUUGCAGUUAAAAAGCUCGUAGUUGAAUUUUGGACCUGGUUGAAUGGUCCCGCCGCAAGGUGGGUACUGUUUGAUUGGGUCUUUCUUUGCGGGGAAUUAGUGUGCUCUUAGUUGGGUGCAUUAAGGAUCCGUAACUUUUACUUUGAAAAAAUUAGAGUGUUUAAAGCAGGCUUAGGCCUGAAUACAUUAGCAUGGAAUAAUAGAAUAGGACCUGUGUUCUAUUUUGUUGGUUCCUAGGACGUAGGUAAUGAUUAAUAGGGACAGUUGGGGGCAUUAGUAUUUAAGUGUCAGAGGUGAAAUUCUUGGAUUGCUUAAAGACUAACUUCUGCGAAAGCAUUUGCCAAGGAUGUUUUCAUCA